CGAGACAGUACUAAUUAGCAAUUUGAUUUGUAUUUAGACUUCUUAAUCCUCGGGUUAUCUCACCCGUCCACAAAUAUAUCUUGGCUUCAGAAAAAAGAACACGUCUUCUCGGUAAACAAACACCAACACUUAUCUAUUUCCGUUCUCGUUCACACUAGCGCGUUAAAACCGGUUAACUAUUGAAGCAGUCAAAACCGGACGUAUUACAUGGCUUUAACUGUGUGUUUUCUAGGACUUACGCGUUGACCAAUGGCUACAAUUUCGAAAAAACUGGGCCGGUGACUGGUUACUGUAACUUUUCGUGUUACAUAUCGACCUGCUACUGCCGGUCGGCAUCAAACCCAGCCCCUCUCCAUUUAAACAACACAAUGACAAACAUCAUCAACUCCUCUUUGCACCAUAAUUAGUCCUCUUUGCUCUCUCCUUUUCUCAUCGCCUCUCUUCUGUAUUGGUUUUAUAUUAUACUUUUUCUUGUCCAUCUCUGUUUUGGCUCGAAUACUCUGUUUUAAACAUUGAGUUUUAGUUACUUUAUUGAAAAGAGAGCAAUGGAGUCUACAGAUUUCUUGACGACUAGUUUUUACCACCCGUCGCCUCAAAGCGUUUGGGAUUUAGCCAUUUAGGAGAUUUCGCUGCGACCGAGAGGGAUUCAUUUGAGCUAUUAGAUUCUCAGCGACAUCAUCAGCUUCAGGACAUUGCUGCUGCUUCACCUCAUUUAUUCCUUCUUGAAACGCUCCAACAGCAAACGCAACCGAUUAUUAAAGUGUCUUCUUGAAUCUUGUGAUUCAGCUAACUUUCAAGCCGCACCGUCAAACCCGACUGCAGAUAAAACAGUGACAUCAAGGGUGGAAUCUUUGUCUUCGGAACAUUUGUUGAUAAAUUCACCGGCGAAACCUAACUCGUCCUCUAUUUCUUCGGCGUCAAGCGAGGCUGUAAACGAAGACAAAGCUAAAAGAGAAGAAGAAGAGGGACAUAAGAAGAGUGAUACUAAUAAACAAUAAGUUUCUCAUCUUUGUCUCGUUGAAAGUUUAUAUAUAUUUUCUUAGAGAUAAAAGGGUUUCAUAAAGCAGUGACAAAAAAAAAAAAAAGGGUUUCAUAAAGUAAAGCAUUUUAAAUGUAUAUAUGUUUAUGUUUUAUUGUGUAUGAUCAUCAGACUGAAGCCCAAGAAGAAUAGUUUGAAGAGACAAAGAGAGGCAAGAGUGGCCUUCAUGACAAAGAGUGAGGUUGAUCAUCUCGAAGAUGUUAUCGCUAGAGAAAAUAUGGUCAGAAAGCUGUCAAAAACAGUCCGUUUCCUAGGAGUUACUACCGUUGCACAACAGCUUCAUGUAAUGUGAAGAAGAGAGUAGAGAGAUCGUUCAGAGAUCCAAGCAUUCAGAGAUCCAAGCAUUGUGGUUACGAUCUACGAAGGUCAGCACACACACACACACAUUAGUCCACUCAUAUCUCGUCCAAACCCCGGUGGAGGCUUCUUCGGAUCAUCAGGAGUUGCUUGAUAGUUGACACCAAACUGUAAAGUCUUUUUAAUGGUUGUGAAAAUAGCAGUACGCGAUCAAAGUUUGUGUAGUCCCCUAAGUGCAUAGACUUGUUAGAAAAGGGUAAAAAACAAGAACAAAUCCCACAAUGAAAUGAAAGAAAAGUAAAAAGAAGAUUACCAUGCUUACUAACUUUCUUCUUUUUGCUACUUUUGCUAUUUUUGUAGCCAUGUGUGUGUGUGUGAAAAUGUUCAAUAGA